GAGUAUUUAAGGGAUGCUGACUCCAUUUCCCCUUGUUGAAAAUCUUCAAGACUAACACCAUAUAGAAUAAUAGAAUUGAAAAAGCUUACUUGUUCUUUUGACUCUUUGAAAGAGAAUUGAGAUGAGUAUUUUAAAAUUCUUGGAAUGAAGUCUUUUGAAUUUAUCUCCUAUUCCCAGAAAAGUAUUGGAUUUGCAGCUCCUUGAAAGAUGUACUUUCCCACCUCAACAUCAGCCAUUUUUAUCAUUAGAAGGAAGGGAGAAGACUAAGGAGAAAGGAGUUGGAUUUAUCGGGGAGAAAAGAGGUUUAUGUUACAAUGUCCUGGUGGCUGGAGAAUUUCUGGAUCCUCUUGGCUGGAAUAAUAAUCCUUGUUUCAGGAACGCUUGCCCUAGUAAUGUACUGUAUCUGUAAGAGACUGCUUAGACAAGGCAAGAACUGGGAAAUCUCUAAGUCUCUGAAGUAUAAUCAAAAAGAUGAACAAACAUAUGAGAAUGUCAUCGAUGAAACAUUCGUGUCUUUACCCCCUCUGCCUCCUAGAAAUAUUCCAGUUUUGGCAAAUACAUUUAAUCACGCUCUACAGGAAAGCGAAAGCCAGCAACCUUAUUCAACUGUAAUGAAAAAGGGAGUUUCUGUUCCUGAUCACAUUGAGCCUAUCUCAGAUUAUGAUGAUGUUGACAUCUCCAUAUAUAGGAAUUAAUCAUUCUGAAACUCACUUCUGCAAGCUUGAAAAAUUUAGUAACCAUAAACAUGGGUAGAAGUGCUUUUAUUAAACAUUAUAAGAUAAAUAUUUUCUAAAUUUAUCAACAUCCAAGAUGACCAACAGGAGGAGAAAGGAAUUGCUACAGGAAGGAAUCACACAGUCUUCUUCUCUGGAGGGAACCCAGUGGGGGGCCAUGAAAAAUGCACAGUGGUCUUGGACACAGGGGACCUGGCUCCAUUGCUGCCUCUGAUGCAAAUGAUCUGAGUGAUUGUGGUUAAGUCCUUUCCCCAACCUGGGCUGCAGCUUCCUCAUCUGAAAAAUGACAAGAUUGGACUCAAUGGCCUCUAAGCGUCGUUGUUCCAGACCUAUGUUUCUGUGAUUGAUAAUGAGUACUGAAUCUAGAGUCAGGGAGAUCAAUUUUUCUGAAUUCAAAUGUGACCCCAGAUACUAGCUGUGAUCUUGGGUGAAUAAAUUAACCCUGUGUGCCUCAAUUCCUUCAUCUGUAAAAUGAGCUAGAGAAGGACACGGCAAACGACUCCACUCUCUUUGUCAAGAAAACCCCAAAUGAGGUCAGAAAGAGUUGGACAUAACUAAGAUGACCAAGUAAUGGCCUCAGCACUAACUUAAUCUAUUUUGUAAUUUCUUUGUAAGUAUUCUCCCUUUUUUAGUCAUCUGCAUACAAUGUUAAAAGUAUAGAUUGCAGGGCUUUUCGUUAAAAUUCUAGAGACCGUUCAUCCUAUAUCCUGGGAAACUUUGUAAGCGUUAUGGUAGUUGAUAGGACAAUGGUCAUACCUACAUGUUUCGUCUCAACUUGGAGACCAGCUCCUUAAGCGAUAAAAGACCUUUUCUUGGGAAAUUUUUUAUUCCACUCUUGGUCCCCAUUCCUUAAGUAAUAGUCACUGUUGAUUGACACAAUGAUAAGACCUCGGUAAGAUUUUUCCUUUAUGAUUACACAAUGCUGGCUGUAAUUAUGGUACUCUAAAAGAGCAAUUAGAGCCAAUUAGCUGUCAGAAGUGACAGCUCAAUUGGCAAAUCAUGAAAAAUCUAGCCGGGGGACUAGCUGGGAAAAGCUAUGGGUCAUAAUGGAAAAGAAAUGGAUGGAUCUGCUCAACUUAUUGUGAAAUGAGAUUCUCUUUAGUUCUUUGCUCCACCCUGUUACUCAAACAGUGCUGAAGAUAAUGAAUAUGGGGUUCUUUUUAAUUCUUUGGUCCACCCCUUAUCUAAAUAUAGUGCUGAAGAGAAAUGAUAUUUUCUUUACUUCUUUGGUCCCAGUCUUCAAAAACCGGGAUACUUGGGAGUGCCUGCCAUAUGUAAAGCACUUUGGGGGAAGGAAAGCCCCUGCCUUCACAGCAUUUCCUGUCUAAGGUGUUAGCAGUGAGAUGAGGAUCCAGGGAAACAUUUAAUUUCAAAUCCUGCUUCAAACGCCACUUCCACGACCUGACUACGUUGUUGAGCAUCCUUGGAUCCAUUCCCAACAUCUGCCUUGGAAGGACCCUGCACUUGCAUCUAGCUCCAGAUCUAGGAUCCCAAAUGUUCAGAGAAAGGCAGAUUCCUUUUUAGUGGAGGAUCAUGUGAAGAAAUUGAAGGGGACAGCAAGUGGGAAUUGAGAGGACCUCAAUGACUCCAUUUUGUAACCAGUCAAUUGUGGAAACUGGGAGAAAACUUUGCCUUUUUUGAGCCUAGUUCUGGAAGUUGGACCACCUCCACCUCUUAUUUAAGAGACCCUUAACCAAGGAUGUAACUUAUGCAGAUCAGAAACCAGUUGGAUCCAGAGCAAAAUCACAUCUUCUCUGAAAACUGGUCCAGUACUCAUGAGUUAUUGCUUCCAUUUUCCUUUGAUUGCUACUGACACUUGGAGGAAUGGGAUAUUUCAGGAAACUAUAUCCGUUUGUUCUUCCCCUCCCAAUUCUCAAGUCCCUAAUCUCUCCAAUUAAGAAAUCAAAUCACCUAGUAUUGUUUUAUUUCCUUUUAGAUGAUUUUUUAAUGUAUAAAAAUGUUUCCCCCUGUAUAUAGGGUCCAACCCUAAGCUAAGACUUUUUUAGGUAAUUGGCACACAUCAUUUAACAAACCAAAAUACUUGGAAGCUCAAACCUGUUCCUUUAGUGAUUUCAUGGCAGGCUGCAGAAAAGUGGAAGCAUUGGAGCUGGGCAGUGACAAAUGGAUUGGACAGUGGAGAUUUAGAGAAAGGGCAUUCUAGGCAGUAGAAACGAGAGCAAAGGUGUGGAGACAGGAAGGGGCUUCAGAUUAUAAGGCAACUGAAGGAAUAGUGGGAAGCAAAGCUGAAAAAGGAGCUUCAGGGCCAAAUAUCAAGAGUGCCUUGAAUUCCAAGUAAAAAAAUCUGGACUUUAAUAGAAAAUGUGGAAGUACUAAAGGCUUCUAAACAGAGGGGUUACAAAGCCCUGUAGGCUCCAGAAACAUUAAGCUGGAAACAGCAUGAUGAUCUGAUGUUAUAGUUUAAGCCAGAGAGGAAAUUAUUUCAACAGUUUAGUUCUGUGAAGAAAAGAAUCAUAUAUCUUUUCUUUGGGGUUAAGGAUAUUCAGCAUAGUCACUCAAAUAUGGUUUUUUGAAUAAAUGAAUACUGGGAAAAUGAAGACCUGAACUAGGAUGGUGACAGAGGGAAUGGAGAGAAGGGAAGAGUUACAGGAGAUGUCACAGAGCUAUAAGCAAUGGAACAUCGCAGCCGGGUGUACAUAGGGGAUAGGGACAAUGUGGGGAGGAAGAGGAUGAGUCCACCUUUGAAUAUGUAGAAGCUAAGGCAGUGGAGAAGGCAUUGUCAUAGACACAAUGCGGAUCUGAAACGAAGGGUCUGAAACAGCUGGUGAUAGACAUGAGAUUUCCCACAUCUCUAUUUUAAUUUUAAGAAUAAAAUUUAUAUCUGGCACAUAGAA